UAUGGACGAGAGUCUGAACCAGCCAAGUAGCGUGAAGGAUGACUGCCCUAUGGGUUGUAAACUUCUUUUAUACGGGAAUAAAGUGAGGCACGUGUGCCUUUUUGUAUGUACCGUAUGAAUAAGGAUCGGCUAACUCCGUGCCAGCAGCCGCGGUAAUACGGAGGAUCCGAGCGUUAUCCGGAUUUAUUGGGUUUAAAGGGAGCGUAGGCGGACGCUUAAGUCAGUUGUGAAAGUUUGCGGCUCAACCGUAAAAUUGCAGUUGAUACUGGGUGUCUUGAGUACAGUAGAGGCAGGCGGAAUUCGUGGUGUAGCGGUGAAAUGCUUAGAUAUCACGAAGAACUCCGAUUGCGAAGGCAGCCUGCUGGACUGUAACUGACGCUGAUGCUCGAAAGUGUGGGUAUCAAACAGGAUUAAUACCCUGGUAGUCCAAGGGCGAAUUC
rnacentral:rRNA from 1 species